AUCCACUCCACUGGGGUUUUGUAAGCAAGCUCAGGAUAUGGCCUAGCUGGACCCUUCUUCCCUGGCUCACUACAUGAUGGAUUUUCCUUUUUUUUUUUCCUGGAGCGAAUCUCUGUAGGCAAAACUCUUCAAUGUUCUCAAACAGAUUUUUAAUUAUGUGAGUUGGUGAUACCAAGAUGUGUCUCAGCAGCAGAGCCGCAGUCUGUCUGAAGCACAAAAUACGUGGCUAAAAGGGCGGAUCAGCCACAUCCUAAGGAGGAGAGAAGAGGCACUGUGCAGCUGUGGUGCUGAAACAGCUCUUGUGAUCCAGGAGCAUGCGCAGCUCUGGUCAGGACUUGGGAAAGCAAGACGAGCCUCUCGUUGCUGCUGUUAUAAGGAAAGAAACUCCUACUAAGAUGGAAGGAGAAGAUAAAGAAAACCUCUCUUCUAGCCUGCAAGCCUGUGUCUCAGCUGUGGAAAAACUAGUUUAAUGGCUCAAAGAAAAAGAAUUAGAUUUGCUGUGGUCCUGAGACCGGAGACCCAAUGGAAUAUUCUUCACUUUAGAGUUGUAUUGAGUGGUCCUAGUCUUUGAAGUAAUGUAGGUAAAUCUGUAUUUAACUUGAUAAACUAUACAUUCCAUGAUUUGUACAAUAAAAUUAAAUUCAGAUUUACCAGUAUUAUUUUGUAAACAUGUAAUCAAGUAAUUCAAAAUAAUUUUGUAGCAUCACAUUUAAGUGUUUCCUAUAAUCAGUACUACUUUAUUUAUCCUCCAAAUCCAAAAGUAUGAACUUCACAAAAUGUUGGUGCACGUUUUGAUGAUUAAACUUCAAAGUAGAUGAAUGAGAUUCCCAAAUGUUUUCAAGCAAAUCAAUAUAGUAAUUUAUUAAUUUCAGAAUAAACAGGUACAGCCAAGUCUUUGUAGUCAGAUUGUGCAGGUAAUGUCAGGCUACAGUCGAAAAUGUUUGCUGUUGAUUUUUCUGUGAUCUCUCACAGUUUCAGUGUUUCACCAACUACUAAAGAAGCUUAUGACUGCAUAAAAGGUGAGCUAUUUCUCUUCAGGGGUGAUAGAACACUUCAGAGACAUACUUGCAAGCUGCUGUCGUUUUGGUCAGCUUUAUGACAUGAACUCAUUAUUUUGCAUGUGAUAGAGUGAGCAAAAGAAAUACAUAACUUGCAAAUAGAAUUAAGUUGGAUUUUCUCAGGUUGCUUGUCUGUAUCGAUACUGUUGGUGCUCCAAGGGCACUGCUUAAUAUUUUGAAAAAGUCAAUCUUUGCUCCUAAGAUAGAUAGGAGUGCCAGAGGAGAUGUAUGGACUGUGUGCACUUGCAAUUUCUUCCGUACUUAAAAUGUGUCUUACCUGACCUUGUAAUGAGUUGGUUCACACAGCUAAACCAGCAGGUAUUCAUCCCUGAAAAAAGAUUAAUUCUCUGUUAGUUUCAUUGAAUUAAGUUAACUUAGCUGUAAGUUUAAACUAUACUCUUCAAAUUUGCUUCUAGCAAACUUGAAAUGCUUCCAUUGUUAUUUGUUUCUCAUUCUUACUUUUAUAUGACUAGCAGAUUUUAAGUAUUCUGAAAUUCUGCUUGCUUCAUCAGUCAGUUCAGCAGAAAGUUAUUUACCCAUUAAAAUCUUUAUGCUUUGAUCACUUCUUCUUUUCUUCCUCUUUUAAUCUCAAAUUUCUAUUUAAUGCUUUCCUUGUAACAUUUGUAAAAAUUAUAUUGUAAAAGUUAAUGCUUGGUUUUCACAUAUCACUUGGCCAUUGUAAUACAAAUCUGCUGUAAGAUCCUGAAGGUAAGAUGUCUAAAAAAAACAAAAAACCUUUCUAUUUACUGAAAGAAAACUGAAGGAUGAUAAUCGCAUACCAAAAUAUCAGAAACUUAUCUCAUAGCAUUAAUUUCUGCAUGUAUUUGUAACUGCCUAUCAGAUUUUUCUUUAAAAUAUUAUAUUGAGCUUUUAAAAAGUAAUUCAUCUUGAAAAUCUUUCAGUUGACAGUUGCUUAAGUACAAUGCCUUCUGUGCAUGUUUCUCUUUUGUUUAGCUCUACAAAGAAUUUAAAAUUAUGUUCCUUCUUUCCUUCCAAAUAUUUUCAAACAUUUUAUUUCUAACUUACAACUUGAAACCGUUUGUGAUGAUCUGAAGAGAUCUGGUCAGAAUAUAUCUCUCAAGAUCUCAUAAUUAAUAGUGGAUUAAUAGAGUUGUUGGCUGCUUUAGUCAGGAUGGCAUUAUGAACUUAUACAAAUACAUUCCAGGCUAAGUCAGCAAGAAAGCAGCACUUUGAUGUAUUGAAUUCAGAUUAUUUGACUAUAUUAUAAUUAAUUGUUAAAAGGGAAAAUUAAGCCCUGAAUAUGAUGAGAGCAAAAUACCACCAAAAACAUUGAUACCUACACUUCUCUUGGAUAUAAGAUAGGUCUGUGCUUUAAGAAAACAAAAGUAGAAAUGUUUGCAACUUCCUCUGCCUCAUUCUUUUGUCCACCUCUGCUGGACUGCUCUGUACAUUUGUAAGUUUUUGGUGCAGUUUGCACAUCACCUUGAUGUCAAAAUACAUACACUGCUGUUUUUCUGGCUAUUUCUCUAGAGUGAGCUAUUAUUAGAGAUCAAAAGAUAUCUGGACACUGAUAAUUUAUUAGUUUGUAAAGCAGAGUAUGAGUAAAUAUUAGUAUGGUGUUAAAGUAUCAGUUUACUGUGCAA